CCUGGUUCUCACAAACCAGGCUGAGCUAUUCCAUUCCUUCGGAAUU
rfam:Lentisphaera araneosa HTCC2155 1101329224544, whole genome shotgun sequence.